rnacentral:tRNA from 1 species
GGGCUUGUGGUUUAGCUGGUUAUGACGCCGCCCUUACACGGCGGAGAUCCCCGGUUCGAAUCCGGGCAGGCCCA